rnacentral:rRNA from 1 species
CCUACGGGAGGCAGCAGUGGGGAAUAUUGGGCAAUGGAGGCAACUCUGACCCAGCAACGCCGCGUGAAUGAUGAAGGUCUUCGGAUUGUAAAGUUCUGUGAUGGGGGAUGAACACAAUGACGGUACCCCAAUAGCAAGCCACGGCUAACUACGUGCCAGCAGCCGCGGUAAUACGUAGGUGGCAAGCGUUAUCCGGAAUGACUGGGCGUAAAGGGUGCGUAGGUGGUUUAGUAAGUUGGCGGUGUAAUUCCGGGGCUCAACCUCGGCGCUACCGCCAAAACUAUUAGACUAGAGUGCAGGAGGGGUAAGUGGAAUUCCUAGUGUAGCGGUGGAAUGCGUAGAUAUAUGGAAGAACACCAGUGGCGAAAGCGGCUCUCUGGUCUGUAACUGACGCUGAGGUUCGAAAGCGUGGGUAGCAAACAGGAUUAGAUACCCGGGUAGUC